rnacentral:rRNA from 1 species
UUAAGCGACUAAGCGUACACGGUGGAUGCCCUGGCAGUCAGAGGCGAUGAAGGACGUGCUAAUCUGCGAAAAGCGUCGGUAAGGUGAUAUGAACCGUUAUAACCGGCGAUGUCCGAAUGGGGAAACCCAGUGUGAUUCGUCACACUAUCGUUAACUGAAUACAUAGGUUAACGAGGCGAACCGGGGGAACUGAAACAUCUAAGUACCCCGAGGAAAGAAAUCAACCGAGAUUCCCCAGUAGCGGCGAGCGAACGGGAGCAGCCCAGAGUCUGAAUCAGCUUGUGUUAGUGGAACGGUCUGGAAAGUCCGACGGUACAGGGUGAUAGUCCCGUACACCAAAAUGCACAGGCUGUGAACUCGAAGAGUAGGGCGGGACACGUGGUAUCCUGUCUGAAUAUGGGGGGACCAUCCUCCAAGGCUAAAUACUCCUGACUGACCGAUAGUGAACCAGUACCGUGAGGGAAAGGCGAAAAGAACCCCGGCGAGGGGAGUGAAAAAGAACCUGAAACCGUGUACGUACAAGCAGUGGGAGCACCUUCGGGUGUGACUGCGUACCUUUUGUAUAAUGGGUCAGCGACUUAUAUUCUGUAGCAAGGUUAACCGUAUAGGGAGCCGCAGGAAACCGAGUCUUAACUGGGCGUUAAGUUGCAGGGUAUAGACCCGAAACCCGGUGAUCUAGCCAUGGGCAGGUUGAAGGUUGGGUAACACUAACUGGAGGACCGAACCGACUAAUGUUGAAAAAUUAGCGGAUGACUUGUGGCUGGGGUGAAAGGCCAAUCAAACCGGGAGAUAGCUGGUUCUCCCGAAAGCUAUUUAGGUAGCGCCUCGUGAACUCAUCUUCGGGGUAGAGCACUGUUUCGGCUAGGGGGUCAUCCCGACUUACCAACCCGAUGCAAACUACGAAUACCGAAGAAUGUUAUCACGGGAGACACACGGCGGGUGCUAACGUCCGUCGUGAAGAGGAAACAACCCAGACCGCCAGCUAAGGUCCCAAAGUCAUGGUUAAGUGGGAAACGAUGUGGGAAGGCACAGACAGCCAGGAUGUUGGCUUAGAAGCAGCCAUCAUUUAAAGAAAGCGUAAUAGCUCACUGGUCGAGUCGGCCUGCGCGGAAGAUGUAACGGGGCUAAACCAUGCACCGAAGCUGCGGCAGCGACACUAUGUGUUGUUGGGUAGGGGAGCGUUCUGUAAGCCUGCGAAGGUGUGCUGUGAGGCAUGCUGGAGGUAUCAGAAGUGCGAAUGCUGACAUAAGUAACGAUAAAGCGGGUGAAAAGCCCGCUCGCCGGAAGACCAAGGGUUCCUGUCCAACGUUAAUCGGGGCAGGGUGAGUCGACCCCUAAGGCGAGGCCGAAAGGCGUAGUCGAUGGGAAACAGGUUAAUAUUCCUGUACUUGGUGUUACUGCGAAGGGGGGACGGAGAAGGCUAUGUUAGCCGGGCGACGGUUGUCCCGGUUUAAGCAUGUAGGCUGGUUAUCCAGGCAAAUCCGGAUAAUCAAGGCUGAGGUGUGAUGACGAGGCACUACGGUGCUGAAGUAACAAAUGCCCUGCUUCCAGGAAAAGCCUCUAAGCAUCAGGUAACAUCAAAUCGUACCCCAAACCGACACAGGUGGUCAGGUAGAGAAUACCAAGGCGCUUGAGAGAACUCGGGUGAAGGAACUAGGCAAAAUGGUGCCGUAACUUCGGGAGAAGGCACGCUGGUGUGUAGGUGAAGUCCCUGCGGAUGGAGCUGAGACCAGUCGAAGAUACCAGCUGGCUGCAACUGUUUAUUAAAAACACAGCACUGUGCAAACACGAAAGUGGACGUAUACGGUGUGACGCCUGCCCGGUGCCGGAAGGUUAAUUGAUGGGGUUAUCCGUAAGGAGAAGCUCUUGAUCGAAGCCCCGGUAAACGGCGGCCGUAACUAUAACGGUCCUAAGGUAGCGAAAUUCCUUGUCGGGUAAGUUCCGACCUGCACGAAUGGCGUAAUGAUGGCCAGGCUGUCUCCACCCGAGACUCAGUGAAAUUGAACUCGCUGUGAAGAUGCAGUGUACCCGCGGCAAGACGGAAAGACCCCGUGAACCUUUACUAUAGCUUGACACUGAACAUUGAGCCUUGAUGUGUAGGAUAGGUGGGAGGCUUUGAAGCGUGGACGCCAGUCUGCGUGGAGCCAACCUUGAAAUACCACCCUUUAAUGUUUGAUGUUCUAACGUUGGCCCCUGACCGGGGUUGCGGACAGUGUCUGGUGGGUAGUUUGACUGGGGCGGUCUCCUCCCAAAGCGUAACGGAGGAGCACGAAGGUUAGCUAAUCCUGGUCGGACAUCAGGAGGUUAGUGCAAUGGCAUAAGCUAGCUUGACUGCGAGCGUGACGGCGCGAGCAGGUGCGAAAGCAGGUCAUAGUGAUCCGGUGGUUCUGAAUGGAAGGGCCAUCGCUCAACGGAUAAAAGGUACUCCGGGGAUAACAGGCUGAUACCGCCCAAGAGUUCAUAUCGACGGCGGUGUUUGGCACCUCGAUGUCGGCUCAUCACAUCCUGGGGCUGAAGUAGGUCCCAAGGGUAUGGCUGUUCGCCAUUUAAAGUGGUACGCGAGCUGGGUUUAGAACGUCGUGAGACAGUUCGGUCCCUAUCUGCCGUGGGCGCUGGAGAAUUGAGGGGGGCUGCUCCUAGUACGAGAGGACCGGAGUGGACGCAUCACUGGUGUUCGGGUUGUCAUGCCAAUGGCACUGCCCGGUAGCUAAAUGCGGAAGAGAUAAGUGCUGAAAGCAUCUAAGCACGAAACUUGCCCCGAGAUGAGUUCUCCCUGAGACUAUAAGUCUCCUGAAGGAACGUUAAAGACGAUGACGUUGAUAGGCCGGGUGUGUAAGCGCAGCGAUGCGUUGAGCUAACCGGUACUAAUGAACCGUGAGGCUUAACCU